rnacentral:lncRNA from 1 species
AUGAAACAAUUACAUCCUGAUUUGCAAAUAAAUAUUCCUUUUGGUCUUGAUAAUCCUUGGGAUGUUUGUGAUAGGAAUCUACUGUAGAAAAUAUGAAUAGCAAGAAGGAAUGAAAACAUCUAACUAAAACCUUUCGAGAGGGCUAUUUUCUCCUACUCCUAACUGAAACUACAAAUAUUUUUGCAUGCCCAGUCGUCCUAUCCUGUAGCUAUUUAUAGAUAUUUUGUAACCACUUGCUGCCCCUCUAACUGAAUUUUUUACUGCUAGCUGCUUCUCAAUUCUUCUUGAUCCCUCUAUUAGUGGUGAAGUAGAUUGGUUGCCUCACAAUACUUCGGGGUAUCCAAAACCACUUCUCAAGGUUUUUUCUGGAAAGUUUUGUUGAAUGUGACACAUGGAAGAUUUUCGUAACUGUGACAGAUGGAAGACUCUGUGGAUUGUAGCUGAAGACGGUAGCUCCAAGCUUGUCAACUAUCCUACUCGCUAAAUAAUUUUGAAAGNCAGAUGGAAGACUCUGUGGAUUGUAGCUGAAGACGGUAGCUCCAAGCUUGUCAACUAUCCUACUCGCUAAAUAAUUUUGAAAGGAACGGAGGCAGUAGGGUCUGAGAGACAUACACUACUAAAUCACCUCCUUCAUUGAAGUGGGCAUCUCUGCGAUGUUGAUCUACCAGUGUCUUCAUCUUAUUUUGGGCCCUCAGCAGAUUCAUCAAUUCUUCCAGCAUGGCAUCUCGAUCUAAUAGUUGCAGGUGGAAUGUAAUAGUUGUAGGUCUGAUCUAAUAAUUAUUUUGGGCCCUUCAUUGAAGUUGCUGCUCUAUUGCCGAUACAUUGGGGGAGGGGAUCAACCAUACACCACUACCUCGGUUUGUCAAACGAGAAGCACCGAAAAUGUCUCCCUAUAAUAGUUGACGACCUCUGUCUGCCCGUUCGACUGAGGUGUUAGGCUAUGCUUCUCCGUAAAUAGGUUCCUUGCAGUUGAAAUAGUUUAGUCCAGAAGUGACUGAAAGACCUUAUCUCAGUCCAAAACAAUGGAGCACUGAAUUCCCUGAAGUCGAAUGAUUUCCUUUACAAAGUUGCUGCCACACCAAUAGCCGUGAACGAAUGUUU